AGCCCCCGCGGCCUCGCCCCGCCCCCUUUAGCCUGGGCUUGAGCGCGCGCAGAAGUCAGCUUCGUGACUUCCUUCUCAGGAUGGAACCAGCUUGGUGGCUUGAGGGAAAGGGGUUCUGAGUUGCAAAUCAGAAACUUGAAGAUGAAAUGGCUACUACGCUGGGUAUUGCCUUUAUCUUGAAUGCCAGCCUGAUGGUCCAAGGUGAACAAGCCUUCCUGUGUUUUCUGAAUGCACACCCAGAGGCCCAGCGGGGACCAGGCAGAGGACAGAAGGCAGAGGCCAGGAGAGAAAGGCUUAGAGAGAAGAGGGCUGGAAGGGCUCUCGUUGAAUGGUGAGACGUCUGAGGCUGGCACCCUGGCAGACCCAGUUGCAGUGGAAUAAGGCAGGGGCUAUUACACAGCCCUGAAGGCAGCCCGUAUUUGUCUGGAUGUCUUCAUUCUUCCAGUCUAAGAACUCCUAAUUCAUCUCUGCACUCCCUGAGGCAUCAGCACUUGAGAGUAAACUCCUUUGAAUCCCUUGAGCCCCACGAGGUGGAUUUUCUCUCAAGAGCUCCCAGGCUAUGCUGAUGAAGUACCUCUUCUCUGCUUCUCUCCAGAAUAGUCAAAACCCUCAAAAUCCUCAAAAGUUCCUGGAGGUGGGAGGUUCCACCCCCAACUCUAUCCUCGCCUCUUCUACUGGUCUAGCCCGCAAGCCCCUCGGAGUUCCUGAGGGGCAGACAGGCCCUGGUGCACACAGGCGCUCCAUGCCAGGCCCUUGGGCUCUGGAGCCCCUGACACUGCCCUGGCACCUCAGACCCCAGGACUGGACACCCACAUGCUCCAGCCCAGUCUUCACACAGGAUCUCCUGCCCCCAUGCACACACUGAGGGCCAGGAUGCACCGUGCAACCCCUAUCCUAGUGCUGAACACCCCUUCCUCAGCCAGCUCCCCAAACUCACAGGCUGGAGCUAGGCCCUGGGCCGAGGUUGGGAACCCUGAAAGUGACAAAGGACGAGUAGAGGGGCUGCAGGGAAGCCAAGAGUGAGGGUGUCUGGAGGGCAGGGCCGAGCCCAGCUGAUCCUAGCAGAGCCAGGCCGGGCAGGGUGGAGC
rnacentral:lncRNA from 1 species